rnacentral:lncRNA from 10 species
GGAAAUGUCAUAACAACAGAGGCUCCAUCAGGGCUUACUGGUAGCCCACUACUGGAAAUCACAUGUCCCAAAUAUUUAACUUGAGAGAGAGAAAAUUGCAAUUUAUCUCUGGACAAUCUUUGUCCCUUAAAGCAAGCUGUUGUGACAAGUGGACAAUGUCUUCUCUGCCUGUUGUCAAGGAGGAUGAAAGUGACAAAUCAUCCACAUAUUGACCAGGAUAGUUCUGCUAGAAAAUUUGAUAUCAUGUAAAUGUCUUUUUAAUAUUUGAGAAAAGUAAGUAGGACACUUGGAAUAUCCUGAAGCAAGAUUGUCCAUGUGUACUGGUGAUUUUCUCAAGCAAAGGCAAAAAGAUAUUGGCUGUUCUGCUCUACAGGAUCUUGCUCUGUCACCUCAGCUGGGGUGCAGUGGUGCCAUCCCGCCUCACUGCAGUUUCAACCACCCAAGCUCAAGCUAUCUUCCCACCUCAGCCCCCCAAGUAGUUGGGACCACAG